rnacentral:rRNA from 1 species
UACCAGCACCCCGAGUGGUCGGGACGAUUAUUGGGCCUAAAGCAUCCGUAGCCGGCCUUACAAGUCCUCCGUUAAAUCCAGCUGCUUAACAGAUGGGCUGCGGAGGAUACUAUAAGACUAGGAGGCAGGAAAGGCAAGCGGUACUCAGUGGGUAGGGGUAAAAUCCGUUGAUCCAUUGAAGACCACCAGUGGCGAAGGCGGCUUGCCAGAAUGCGCUCGACGGUGAGGGAUGAAAGCUGGGGGAGCAAACCGG